rnacentral:rRNA from 1 species
GCACGCAAGCCUCUGCACGAACGCCUGUGAGGGAUGACGCUUCGGCUUGUAACCUAUUUCCGUACGCAAGAAGGGGAAAGUGACGUACCUGCCAGAACGAAUGCACCCGGCCUAACUAAGUGCCAGCAGCCGCGUAAUACGUAGGUUGCGAAGCGUCCUCUGUACUAUUGGGUCGUAAAGAAGUCGUAGCUGUUUGUCCCGUCCGUCCUGAAAGUACCGGGGCUCAACUCCGAUUGCGUUGGUACGGGCAGACUAGAGUGCAGUAGGGGAGACGGAAAUUCAUGGUGUAGCGGUGGAAUGCGCAGAUAUCAGGAGGAACACCGAUGGGGAAAGGCAGGUCUGUGGGCUGUAACUGACGUUGAGGAGCGAAAGCAUGGGGAGCGAACAGGAUUAGAUACCCUGGUAGUCCAUGCCCGUAAACGUUGGGCACUAGGUGUGGGGAGCAUUCCACGGUUUGCGCGCCGCAGCUAACGCAUUAAGUGCCCCGCCUGGGGAGUACGGCCGCAAGGCUAAAACUCAAAGGAAUUGAUGGGGGCCCGCACAAGCGGCGGAGCAUGCGGAUUAAUUCGAUGCAACGCGAAGAACCUAACCAAGGCUUGACAUGUUCUCGAUCGCCGUAGAGAUACGGUUUCCCCUUUGGGGCGGGUUCACAGGUGGUGCAUGGUUGUCGUCAGCUCGUGUCGUGAGAUGUUGGGUUAAGUCCCGCAACGAGCGCAACCCUCCUUCCAUGUUGCCAGCACGUCGUGGUGGGGACUCAUGGGAGACUGCCGGGGUCAACUCGGAGGAAGGUGAGGAGACGUCAAAUCAUCAUGCCCCUUCAUGUCUUGGGCUUUCGACGCAUGCUACCAAUGGCCUGGUCCCAAUGGGAUUGCGGGGAUUCCCCUUGUCG